UUCCAAAUUUUGAUUAUUACACGUAUGCUUAUUAUUGUCACGCGUAACCUUAACCGAGACAAUAAACAAAAAUCAAUGAAGAAUAAUGUAUAGAAGAAUAAUAGAAUGUCGGUGAAACUGCAAGUUCUAUAGCGCGGAAAAGGAUUUGCAGAGAAAAGCAUAGAGUUAAUACAGAUAGAGCAGACAAGCCAGCUCUCAACGCGGCAGCGGCGAAGAGAGAGAUAGAUGCAAAUCAGAGUGCAAAGACGGAUAGCUAAUGGGGUUCAGCUAUCUCUUUCUUUCUCAUUAUGAGCGAAUGGACACUUCCACUUGCAGAGCAGCCUAUGGCUUGUUUGCUCUAUCUGUAUUAACUCUAUGGAGAAAAGACGUAAUAUGCGGCGCAGGAUGUAGGCACCAUCGAUAGCUUUCUUGGCCAUAAAACAGAGAAGCUGUUGCUAGGUAACGGUCUCCCUGUUACCUUAGCAACACCGGUAUCCCUAUUCUUAAAUCUAUUUCACAUACUGAGCUGAUCUCAAUAGUUCAACAUUUAACUAUUUAAAAAUAUUUAUUUAUUAGUCCACCUUUGUCCGCUAAUGCAGGCAAACUAAUAUUAAAGAAAUUCUAUAAAAAUGGAAAACACAAUACGAUUGGUCGAAUGAUAAUAGAUUGAGACCCUCUUUAGGUAACAUAAUUUUAUUAGUCAUUCAGUACCUACUACUUCACAAGCAAUACCCUUUGACACAUGAAAAAAGAGAACUCGCAAAUUAAAUUAUGCAUUGGCGAAUUAGAACAUAUUUGGAAAUAUUGAAGAAAGAUAUUUUACAAAUAUAUACGCAUAAUCAUUGCCUUGGUAAAGUUCUUGAUCUUAUAAUUACAUCGGUGUCACAUAUCGAAAUUUCAUGAGAUUCUAAAUAUUGCGCGCGUGCGAUCGCAGCCUCGAGCCCAAAGUGCCAGCACCGUCAUUUGUUUAUCCACUAAUGAGCGACAAAAUGGCCGACAUUAUUUGCAGUGAUGAGUUCGACGACGAAAAAUGAGACGAGAAAUAAAGAAUCUUUCAGCAACUCGGAUAAACUAUUUAUGCCUGAAGUAGCACGAAAGAUGGCGUCUGCUUGCAUGAGUACAUCGACGUGUUGUACAUGAGCGUCAAGCAAAACACUUUUUAAAGAGCAAAAGUUACUCAAAAUACUACAAAACUUUAUGUCACAUGUUCUAUUGAUUAAGCAACCAAUAACGUCAACUUUCUACACGAUUUACCGAUUCAUCAAAGAUGCGUGGAACUUUUAACUUUUCUUACUUAGCCCAUACAAGACAUACUCGUGAAAACAGUUUUACUUUGAGUCUACGAAAUUGCGGAAUACCAGCACAUAUGACUGCAUUACUUGUUGAAUUCAAAUAUGGAGCUGAUAAUGAUUACGAAACUCGAGCAUGCAUGAAAAUGGCCACGGCAUCACUUGCACAUAGCAUCAACAUGGUGUUCGAUCGAGUUACACUGUGAAAUUCGUCCAGAGAAAUAAAUAAUCCAUAGAAAAACGCAUUCUAGCAGACGGAUUUUCAUGAAAUCCCACCUGGUAACCAUAUUUUCUGUAUUUCCGACAGUUUGCACGGCUGUACGUUUUAAUGAGAGCAGUCCGAAUACAAUGUUUCACAUGCCUCCAGCGAAGACUAUCAGUUUUCCGAAUAAUUUUUCGCCAGGAAUCACACCAGAAUGAGUAUUCAUAGUGAAAACCCAAGUAGAACGUUCGAACACAUGAACCAUCGUUUUGCGUCUUUCAGUUUUCAACACCCGAUUUACGUCUUUCUUGUUUUAUCGUUGCAAAACAAUCACGGGAGCACCGAAAAUAUGAGAUUGGCAAGAGUUUUCAAAAAAACUUACG